GAGAAAAAAAGGUGUUACCUGAGUCGUCCCCUCCACCCCGAUCCCCCCAUAUCUCUCACUUCUCUCUCUCCCGUUCCCUUUUUUCGCCGCCGCCUUCGUCGGCCGGUUCCGGCGAACGCUGGCGGUCUCCGCCGCCGUGGUGGCUACCAAUCUCUUCCUCUCCUCGCGCUCUAUAUGAUCCAUUGCAUCGAUUCAUCGAUCCCAUCUUCAUGUGGUUGCCCGCAUCGGAUUUACCCGUCUACGGUUUCGGUGCGGUCGACCUCCUCAUCACCGGUGAUGCUCCGGCGCUUUGGUCCGGUCGUCUUUGUCUUCUGUCGUGCUCUCUCGUGCUGCUCUUCUUCCUAACGGCGCUCCCGUGCCUCAAAUGCACGCCAGGGCGGCACGGUGAGCAGGUGGGAGGAGAAGGCGGCGGCGGUUUCGAUCUAUUAUCUGCGUCGACAUAGGAGGCGGUAGAGCGGUCUGGACGAGAUUCCUGGUGCCGGUUUCCUCACCAUGCUGCGACCACCAACAUCGAGCAAUGGUUGAUGCCAAGGCUUUAAGGACCUGUUCGGACUCUGUCCGCUCCACAACUGCGGCUCCCGGAGCGGAGGGAGCGGCAGCACAAAUCAGGGAGUGGCUCAAACCGAGGUCUCGUCUCCUCUACAGCUCGGAGUGGAGUUUUGAGAUUGGAGAGGUUGCGAACAGGCUCUAAGAAUGGACUGCAGCUCUGACCCAAGCAGAGUAAAGCUUCUAAGUCGCAUAUAGCAGAUCUCAAGAGAGGUUUCACUGAAAUUUCAGCAUUCUUCUCCAGUAUUUUCUUUCGUCUUAGUGCAAAAUUGCAUGAUACGUAAUUUCCAUUGCUUGUUGAGGUCGGAAGAAGCAUUGAGUUUGAUUAUUUGUGUUGCACAGAUAAUGAGCGUUUAAGAAGGUUGCACACGGAAACCUUAUUCAAAUUCACCAACUAGGUAGGUUGCUACAUGAAGGUUGAUAAAUUUCUAAUUCUGAAAUGAUGGCUCAACUAAAUUAGUUUUCAUCUCAGAUGUUAACUCCUGGAUGUAGAUGAAAUUAGUUCAGUUGAUGAUCUUGGCUUCAAUUUGUAUGUUGUCCUUUACACCUAGGAGAUUGAGUUGAUGGGAGGACUAUAAUUUCUUUUGUUUUGACACCUCGGACUCCAAUGUACUAUUUUUCUCAUAGGAACAGCUUAAACAAGUGCUCUAGAGCUUGUGAAUUUGGUUGCCUUCCAUUCUAUAUUAAUUUCUAAAUUGUACAAAUUGAUCUAAUUUUAUUCCUUAUUAGAGCUUGAAAUCUGUAAGAGAUUACGUUUAAUGGCAAAUGGUAGGUUUAUAUGCAAUUUAAUUCAUGUGUGUCUCGGACUAUUUCUGAUUUGCUAUUAUUCAGCUGAAAAUUUCACACAGAAUCCUGAAGUUUGAAGGAAAAAUUAGGAAAAGCAAAUAUAAUACUGUUAUCAAUGGAAGAGGUGGUUAAAUGUAUCACAAGCUUCUGCUGACCCAUAAAAUCAACAUAACAAGUGUUUAUUUGAAACAUGAGCAUAAAAGGGACAUCAAAUAACUUAAGCAUGACUAUGAAAUGAACUGAAACUCCAUGGAGAGCAAGCUCCGGUAAAGAAAAGCCUUUCAAUUGAUUUGACAUAUUGGUGUAGGGAGAAGCAGGAGUUUUGGAUAAAAUUAUACUGUCGAUUAUUUUUUAAAAUUGAUAAAGCUAACUUUCACUACACCAGCUGCACUCUUGUCCAGCAAGGCACCGAUGAAGGAUUCUGUUAUUGGGAGACCUGAUUAUGGGGCCAACACGGUCAUGCAUUUUUUGUGUGUCCAGCAAGGCACCAAUGAAGGAUUCUGUUAUUGGGAGACCUGAUUAUGUUGCCUCCUCGUAGUAGGGCUAGGGAAGCAGUGUCAGGUGGAUCCUGGAAGAGCACUGGUGUGGGAUCCGCUGCUGCCAGGUAUGCUUUUCUUCCUUCCCGUCCUCUCGAUCCACUUCCUCUCUUUGUUUCUGAAUUUUGCACUCAAAUUGUGAGGUGAGGCUAAAAAAAUACAGUGGUUACUGACGGCGGUGACGACGACGAAGAUUGUCCCGGCAUCUGGAACAGUGGAUGCAUUGAGCUCGAGAUGACGAUUAGCCACUACAUCCACGAUCACUGUUUUCCCCCUUCUUUUUGUGGAGAUGAUUUCAUUACUCUUUAUCAAUGCUGUAAUAACCAAGGUGCAUGUGUGACUUGUUCAAUCAAGUGUGUAAUGAACCCUGCUUAAUAUGGCUAAUUUUUUUAAAUAAUACAUUUUUUUGUAAA